AUUGAACGCUGGCGGCAUGCCUUACACAUGCAAGUCGAACGGCAGCACGGGUGCUUGGACCUGGUGGCGAGUGGCGAACGGGUGAGUAAUACAUACGAACAUGUCCUGUAGUGGUGGAUAGCACCGCGAGAGCCGGAUUAAUACCGCAUACUAUCUACGAAUGAAAGCGGGGGACCUUCUGGCCUCGGGCUAUGGGGUUGGCCGUAGGCUGGUUAGCUAGUGGGUGGGGUAAAGGCCUACCAAUGCGACGAACAGUAGCUGGUCUGAGAGGACGACCAGCCAGACUGGGACGGAGACACGGCCCAGACUCCUACGGGAGGCAGCAGUGGGGAAUUUUAGACAAUGGGCGAAAGGCUGAUCCAGCAAUGCCGCGUGUAUGAAGAAGGGCUUCGGGUUGUAAACCACUUUUGUCCGGAAAGAAAUGCUUGGCACUAAUACGGUCGGGGGAUGACGGUACCGGAAGAAUAAGCACCGGCUAACUACGUG
rnacentral:rRNA from 1 species